ACUGGAGCCACAAAAGCAAUGCAGGAGGAAGAAUGAAUCAGCUUUGUAACCAGCUUCAUCUGACGGCUUAGAUGGCCACUAGAAGGGAAGGUGCUGUGAUUUGAACGAUGUUGUCCCCUACAACAUUCAUAUUGAAACUGAAUCCCCAAUGCCACAGUAUAGUAAAAACCUGUGGCUUUUGGGAGGCAAUUGAGACAUAAGGGCUCCAUUUUCAAAAAUGGGAUUAGCCUUUUAGAAAAUGGCUCAAGGGUGAAGAGAACAUUCCCUUGGUCUUCUGACUUCCACCACUAGUAAGGACACAGCAACAAGGUGCCAUCUUGGAAGCAGAUGUCAAUGCCAGCAGCUUGGUCUUGGACUUCCCAACCUCCAGAACUAUAAGAAAUAAAUUUAUGUUCCUUAUAAA
ensembl:lncRNA novel transcript